UUUGUAAUUUAUUAUGAUAAGAAUAAUUCAAAUUAAUUAUUUUGAAUUAUUUUCAUAAUAAGGAGCCUCAAUAAUUAAUUUUGUGGUCCGUAUAGUGCCCAUAUUUAACUAGAACUCAGAAUCCCAAUUUCUUCUCUCUUUUGGACUGAGAUCCCUAUAAACACAGGGGUUCUCCUAACCUAAAAAAAGAAAAGAAUAGAGGUAGGAUUUUCUAUGCGAUACUUGCCACCAAAGUAUUGAGAGAGUUUGGCUGUGAACUUGGGAUCACCGUAGAAGACCGCAGAACUGCAGUUUAACUUGGGAAUUUCCUUAAAGUUUUCCAACAGAUUUUGCUGACGAAUGAAACUACUCUGAGUUACAAGGCUGAAUGGGUCUCUUUUCUCGAAGGAACCCAAGAAGCUUCUUAUUUUUGGGUGGCUUUGAACUAUUUGUAUGGGAAUUUGGGUAAAAAUUACUCAGGCACCAUUGCUACAAUUGAUCUUGGAGGUGGAUCAGUCCAAAUUGCUUGUGCUGUCUCAAAACA